GGGGCUAGUGUAGUCAAGAGAUAUGGGGAGAAGGCAGGAACGGUGGUACUGAUUAGGGAGGAUCAGCGCCUUGACUCACAUUGAAUGGCAGUGCUGGCUCGAAGGGGCCGAAGGCCUACUCCUGCACUAUGUCUAUUGUCUAU